AUUGAACGCUGGCGGCAGGCCUAACACAUGCAAGUCGAGCGGUUGAAGGGAGCUUGCUCCUGGAUUCAGCGGCGGACGGGUGAGUAAUGCCUAGGAAUCUGCCUGGUAGUGGGGGAUAACGUCCGGAAACGGGCGCUAAUACCGCAUACGUCCUGAGGGAGAAAGUGGGGGAUCUUCGGACCUCACGCUAUCAGAUGAGCCUAGGUCGGAUUAGCUAGUUGGUGGGGUAAGGGCCUACCAAGGCGACGAUCCGUAACUGGUCUGAGAGGAUGAUCAGUCACACUGGAACUGAGACACGGUCCAGACUCCUACGGGAGGCAGCAGUGGGGAAUAUUGGACAAUGGGCGAAAGCCUGAUCCAGCCAUGCCGCGUGUGUGAAGAAGGUCUUCGGAUUGUAAAGCACUUUAAGUUGGGAGGAAGGGCAGUAAGUUAAUACCUUGCUGUUUUGACGUUACCAACAGAAUAAGCACCGGCUAACUUCGUG
rnacentral:rRNA from 1 species